rnacentral:rRNA from 1 species
AGAGUUUGAUCCUGGCUCAGAUUGAACGCUGGCGGCAUGCCUUACACAUGCAAGUCGAGCGGCAGCGCGGGGGCAACCCUGGCGGCGAGCGGCGAACGGGUGAGCAACACAUCGGAACGUGUCCUGGAGUGGGGGAUAGCUCGGCGAAAGCCGGAUUAAUACCGCAUACGCUCUACGGAGGAAAGCGGGGGAUCCGCAAGGACCUCGCGCUGCAGGAGUGGCCGAUGUCGGAUUAGCUAGUUGGCGGGGUAAAAGCCCACCAAGGCGACGAUCCGUAGCUGGUCUGAGAGGAUGAUCAGCCACACUGGAACUGAGACACGGUCCAGACUCCUACGGGAGGCAGCAGUGGGGAAUUUUGGACAACGGGGGAAACCCUGAUCCAGCCAUGCCGCGUGCGGGAAGAAGGCCUUCGGGUUGUAAACCGCUUUCGGCCGGAACGAAAUGGGCGAGGUGAACAAUCUCGCUCGAUGACGGUACCGGAAGAAGAAGCACCGGCUAACUACGUGCCAGCAGCCGCGGUAAUACGUAGGGUGCGAGCGUUAAUCGGAAUUACUGGGCGUAAAGCGUGCGCAGGCGGCCCCUUAAGACAGGUGUGAAAUCCCCGAGCUUAACUUGGGAAUGGCGCUUGUGACUGGGGGGCUGGAGUGCGGAAGAGGGAGAUGGAAUUCCUGGUGUAGCAGUGAAAUGCGUAGAGAUCAGGAGGAACACCGAUGGCGAAAGCAGUCUUCUGGGCCAGCACUGACGCUCAUGCACGAAAGCGUGGGGAGCAAACAGGAUUAGAUAC